AUACUUGCUUCGGCAGUACAUAUACUAAAAUUGGAACGAUACAAAGAAGAUUAGCAUGGCCCCUGUGCAAGGAUGACACACAAAAUCGUGAAGCGUUCCACAUUUUU
rnacentral:snRNA from 1 species